rnacentral:rRNA from 1 species
AGAGUUUGAUCCUGGCUCAGAGCGAACGCUGGCGGCAUGCCUAACACAUGCAAGUCGCACGGUCAGCAAUGGCAGUGGCGGACGGGUGAGUAACGCGUAGGGAUCUGUCCACGGGUGGGGGAUAACCAAGGGAAACUUUGGCUAAUACCGCAUGACACCUGAGGGUCAAAGGCGCAAGUCGCCUGUGGAGGAACCUGCGU